rnacentral:rRNA from 1 species
GUCGGGAAUUUUGCGCAAUGGGCGAAAGCCUGACGCAGCAACGCCGCGUGAGGGAUGAAGGCCUUCGGGUUGUAAACCUCUUUUCUCAGGGACGAUAAUGACGGUACCUGAGGAAUAAGUCACGGCUAACUACGUGCCAGCAGCCGCGGUAAUACGUAGGUGGCAAGCGUUGUCCGGAUUUACUGGGCGUAAAGAGCGCGCAGGCGGUCGAUUUAGUCGAGUGUGAAAGCCCCCGGCUCAACUGGGGAGGGUCACUCGAUACUGAUCGACUCGAAGGCAGGAGAGGGAAGCGGAAUUCCCGGUGUAGUGGUGAAAUGCGUAGAUAUCGGGAGGAACACCAGUGGCGAAGGCGGCUUUCUGGCCUGUUCUUGACGCUGAGGCGCGAAAGCUAGGGUAGCAAACGGGAUUAGAUACCCGGGUAGUCC